rnacentral:tRNA from 1 species
AUGGAAUUUUCCUGGCAAGGAUACUGGAGUGGGUUGCCAUUUCCUCCUUCAGGGGCUCUUCCCUACCCAGGGAUCUUCCCUACCCAGGGAUCGAACCCUGGUCUCCUGCACUGCAGGCAGACUCUACCGCAUGAGCCACUAGGGAAAUUCCUCAGAGGCUGUGGAACGUUCUGGCAGGGGCAGAGCCCCUCCCCCGCACUGCCUCCUGCACAACAGCGGGGCGGAAGGAGCAGAGAGGGAGGGAGGCCUCUGAUUGGAGGAGGCUUGGUGAGAGGGCGGGGCGGUGGGCGUGUCCAACGGCCCCUGAAAAAGUCGUUGGGAUCCGUUAAGUUCCAGCGGCACCUCGCUCAUUUUUCUCUAAGGUGGCAUGAAGCUGACUUAGUUGGAGAACGGGCUUAUGGGGAUCUCCCCUUUCAGGAAGAUGAGAACUGCUAUAAGGAUUCAGGAAAACCCCUGAGGCCCAGGAUGUGGAGAACUGAGCGCCCCGUCCCUCACCGCCGAUUCCAUUCUUCCAUCCCAAGGAGGAGAGCCACUCGAAUGUCCUGAAAGACACUGGGACUCCGAGGACAGGAUGGGUCAGUCAAGCCAUAACAGAGCAUGGAGCCAGUUCCUUUGUCCACCCUGUCAUCUUCUAGGAACUAGGAAGCACCCUUCCUGGGUCCCUGCCCCAGUGGACUUCUCCAGUUCUUCCUUCCCAGCCGUUGCUGUGGCAUUAGCCAUCUGGAAAAAGAGCUGCUGGUAGGACCUGGGACUUUUGUUCACACCCAUAAGCCUUCCCUCCAGAUAUCCAGUACUUUGCCUUCAGGAAGGAGACUUGAACUUCAGGCAACAGGAGAAAACCAAACCUUCAAGGGCUUUGGUUCCCUCCAAGGCCAAGGUUCCCAAGAUCCUUGGUUAAGAGGUCUGGGCCACUGCCCUCCCGUCUUCACUCUUCUUUUCCCUGUUUGUCCCAGAGUUCUGCUAUAACCCCAAAGCUUUUCUGUUUACCAUCAACAUGGAAACUUGACUCUUCAUAUAGGUAUAUUUUCCCUCUUUUGUGCAUCAUCUUGUUCCCAAAAACUGCCUUUUCAUGAAGGAGGCUUGUGGGACUCAAGGGGCCUGGCCAGUCACCCAGGCUCCCCCGAAGCCUCAGACCACUGGUAAUGUGGAGAAGUUUAAUAAAGAUGUCAUUACUUCUUGACUUGU